rnacentral:rRNA from 1 species
UACGAAGGGGGCUAGCGUUGCUCGGAAUCACUGGGUUUAAAGGGUGCGUAGGCGGGCAGGUAAGUCAGUGGUGAAAUCUCCGGGCUUAACCCGGAAACUGCCGUUGAUACUAUCUGUCUUGAAUAUCGUGGAGGUAAGCGGAAUAUGUCAUGUAGCGGUGAAAUGCUUAGAUAUGACAUAGAACACCCAUUGCGAAGGCAGCUUACUACACGAUCAUUGACGCUGAGGCACGAAAGCGUGGGGAGCAAACAGG